rnacentral:rRNA from 1 species
UACAGAGGGUGCGAGCGUUAAUCGGAAUUACUGGGCGUAAAGCGUGCGUAGACGGUUUCGUAAGUCGGGUGUGAAAGCCCCGGGCUCAACCUGGGAAUUGCAUUCGAGACUGCGUAGCUAGGGUGCGGAAGAGGGAAGCGGAAUUCCUAGUGUAGAGGUGAAAUUCGUAGAUAUUCGGAGGAACACCAGUGGCGAAGGCGGCUCACUGGUCCAUUACUGACGCUGAGGUGCGAAAGCGUGGGGAGCAAACAGGG